CCUCUGUUUGCUACGCCGGGAAAUUUACACCUCAGCCUCGCUCGCCGCGAUCGAUUUUCUUUUACCUGCCGGAGGAGAUGCGAUCAGCACGACGGGACCGGGACAUUAUAGGAAUUAAAAUUCCAAUGACAUUGUACCAGUUUUACUCCGCGCAUGGAUUGCUUGCCCCGGAAAGUGUUGCUGAGCGAAAUGAGGAGGAGGAUGCAGCAUAAAAAUGUAAAUCUCGGGCAAGUUAGUUUGUGAUAUUAAUAAUCGAUUCAAUAAAUCAAUGAAAUUGAAA